rnacentral:lncRNA from 1 species
UUAUCAUCCUCCAGAUAUCAGAUGCAUCAUCUAAUGAUGAAGUAAUUCCAAAUGGAAACACAUAUAAACAUCAUAGAAUCAUAUAAAUACUCCAAGUUAAUCUUAUUGUCCAACUAAUAUACUCUAACUGUGUUUGCAACUCCUUGGAUUCUACAUGGGACCACACUCGUGGAUUUGAUUAGAAGAAGUUACAUCAUGAUCAUAUAAAUCUAUGCAUAUUGAUCACAAUGGAAAAAUGGGUUCUUAAUUCCAUAUAACAGAGUUUGUUAGAGGGCCCAACUAAAGAUUUCUUCAUGCCUAGCAAGAAUCAGAACAGUAGGUAACUUACUAGCCUUGGUCUUACCUAUCUAGCUUGUUAGCUAGAAAGCUUCUCCAUAUACACGAAGCAAGGUCAUGAACUCAAUUUCUUGGGGAAGUGUUAGGUGGAAAGCUUGGUACUAAGAAAAUUUCCAAAUCCUAUGGAUAUGAAGCAAGCCAAUUAGAUCAGUUUCUUCAUGUAUUGGUUGAGUUAGCAUGCUCAAAUGUAUGUAUAUAAACAUUUGCAUAUGUGUCUCAAUGAAAAUAAACAUUUGCAUAUGUAUAUAAACAUUUGCAUAUGUGUCUCAAUGAAAAUGUAUGUAUAUAAACAUUUGCAUAUGUGUCUCAAUGAAAAUACACCCAUCUAAAAUUAUGUAUAAUCCAAUAGUAGCAAAAGCAAUAACCAUCGAUUAUACCCAGUCAUCUUUGCCAUCUGGGAAAAUGUCACCCCUUAAACUAUGAUGUCAAUUGCUUAAAACCUUAAGAACUUGAUUAGCAUUUUAUUCUUCCAAGUUUCGAGAAAUCCAGUAGACUUAAAUAUAUGAUGUCAAAGUCACUCAUAACUAGUGCGUUGCUCUAAACUCUCAUGCUACAUUUACGUGAAUGCAUUUAUAUCAAAAAUGAAAAAACACCAGAAUGCUAUACUACAUUAAUCAUUCUCACGUUUACAUGGAAAGCCUACAUUGUAGAAAUUUCCUAAAAGCCAUGAACCCCAAGUGUAGAAUUCAUCAAAACUUAGCUAUAAAUUUUCUACUCCAAUAAUGGACGACUAGAAAGAUCAUGUUUAUACAUUGUUUUGUUGCUUUACACAUCAACCACUGUUCGGGGAGUUCAGAACAAAAAUUAUAAAUAUCAAACACAAAGUACUUAUUUUCAUAAGAAACCUUGAUAUUAAUUGUAUUAAAUUCGAAGAAGGAAAUUAGGAUCUGCAAUCCUGAAACAUCUGAGCUAUUAUAAUUAAAUAUUUAAUUCAUAAUCCAAAAAAAGCCUAAUUUCAAUUGUAGCAAUGUCUGGAAGCUAUAAGAUAUAAAUAAAACCCUUGAACCCAACGAACCCAAAUUAUCCAAAUAAGCAAACCAAUCUUUUUCUCUUUCUUUUUCUUUAAACCAAUAUCAAAUAUUGGCCCCAUUUGUACAUUUCUCUUAACAAAAUCCUCUGACACAAACUUCUAAAUACUAAUCGACUAACAACAACAAUAACAGAAAUCAAAAUGAAACAAAUGAGAAGCUUUUCAGACCAAAAAUUGCGUAGGGAGCAUUAUUAAGAGGAGCUACAGAGAGAGAGAUUCAUGAAAGAAAAAUAUUGGAUUUAGAUUAUUAUUUUUUGACAAUUUUUUAUUGUUAAAGAUAGGAUUUGGAUUUAUGAACUCUAGAACAAGAGAUAGAGAAGCAGAACCCACCAGAAAGGGGAGAGAUGAUCAAUACGUACACGAGCUUCUCAAGCUCAAUCAAUGGCGACCUAGACGCCUCAAAAGUUUCCCGAAUGCUAAAACGCUUCUUUCUCUCUCUAAUCUGAAUAGGCAAAAGUUUCCCGAAUGCUGAUACGCCUCUACCUCUCUUCAUUCCGUAAAUCUGAAUAAGCAAGUAACAAUGGGAGGUGUACUCAGAAGAGAUGACACUCCUCAGCCGUUUGAUUUUUUAUCUGACGGAUUGUCAUUUGUAACCACACUGUAUUGAAGUGACGUUCUCUCUUGUAAAUCCUAGACCCCGUGAUGCCAUAUGGUCUCAAAGUAUGAACUUUGAAAUAUAAGGCCAAAUUACAU